rnacentral:lncRNA from 1 species
CAGAGUGAGACUCCACCUCAAAAAAAAGAAAAAAGGAAAACCAAGCAAAAGUCACUGUCAGGGGACCUCCCACCCACCAUACAGGGGAACACUCGGCAGAGCCAGAGGCCUGGGCCCAAGUCCUGCCACCAGCUGGCUGUGAAACUGUGGUACAGCACCUUGUGUCCUGCCACCAGCCGGCUGUGAAACUGGUACAGCACCUUGUCCUCAGGUCCUUGGUUUCCUCACUUGUAAAUUCAUGGUUCUCCAUGGCAUCUCUGGUCUUCAACAUUAUUUUGCAUAGAGUCUCAGAAGCUUUAGUGUGAGCGGAUGAUAUGGGCACGAAGCAAGGCACCCAGAAGUGGGGGCAACUACUCUGCUUUCUAAAAUGCAAGGGAACCGGAAAAUCCAGGAGCCGUGCCAAAUGAGAAGAGGAACAAAUGGAGGAACAUCCCAGUCAAGUGACAUUCCUAGUGACAUUCACCAGAACAGAGUCAAGCUUUGGAUCCCAUGUUCUGUGACUUCCUCUUCACCACGCUUCCUCCACACACGUAGCAGCUCAAGGGUUUCUGAUGAGUGGGAGGCUUGACUAGAAUUGAAUUCGAGACAAGCACAAAGAUCAUGAUGCAAAUGAAAGGGACAGAGGGGAGAGAAACAGAAAACAAGUCUAUGUUCCCUUUAUGAGCUGUAACGCACACCAUGAAGGUCUGCGGCUUGGCUAUUGAGUCAGUGAGAGCGUGAACCUACUAUUAGAAGAAAAACUCUGAAUACGUCUGAACGUCAGAAAGAACGAAGUUUGGACACAUUGUCUUUAAGAACUGUAACACUCACCCCAAGGGUUUAUGGAUUCAUUCUUGAAAUCAGUGAAACCAAAAGCUUUCCAAAGUUUAACACACAGGGAAAUGACUUACUGCAAAGAACCACUCUUCCCCACGAGACUUCGAGAAGACCCGCUGUCACGGACUGAGUUGUGUCCUCUUAAAAUUCAGAUGUUGGAGUCCAAACCCCCAGUAACUCAGAGUGUGAACGUAUUUGAAGAGGUCUUUAAAGAGGUGAUGAAGGUCUUUGUCUCUGACAAUUUGCCUCUGUGACGUGGAUGGGACUGGAAGUCCAUUUGGAGCCCUGUCUUCUCCACCUAGGGAGAGAGACCCCAUGAGCUCGUCAAGCUCCUUCUGUGACUGAUCAGAGAUCCCACCGUGAGUCCAGCUCCUGGUCCCAUGCUCUGGAUAUAUCGGUCCCUGGCAGCGUGAGUGCCUCUGUGUUCACUGUCCCAUUUGAGAAUUCUAAGUAGAAUUCUGAACAGGCUGGAGCAGAUUGCCCACCCCAAGGGACAGAUGUUGGCUGGUACUGUUGGUAUUCAUGGAAGAUUCCUUCUGACACUCCCUCCUUCUUUGUAAUUGCCAUGAACUGGAGCACUGGGCCAAUAUAAAUCAUCCAAGGGUGAACACGCUGCACAUGGACGGCUCCUCUUUGUUUUUGAAGGGAUUCCAUCUCUAUUUUGCCAUGUGCUCCUUCACCCCACUCCCCACCCCCGUCUUUCAUUUCUUUCUCUGGAAAAGAUACUUCAACUCACAGGACUGCGAUGUUGAAACGGACACCCAAGAGCAUCACAGAUGGGCCAGGCCUGGACCUCUCGGGACAACAUUCCUCACGACUUUUAGAUAGAAGAGAUUAGAGAUUUGGGACUGGUGGCAACUGGUAACGUUUUCAGUGUUUGGUAAACAGCCAGGGUCCGGAGCUCUGGGAACAGCCUGAUUUAGCUCUUUGUUUAAGUUUUGUGUUAGAGGCUCCCAAGAAGCUGAUGCAGGGGAAAGAAAUUAACAACCAUGGCUCAUUCACAGCCAGGCAGCCAAAUGGACAGCUCUAUAAGACUCAAGCCGACAGCGGAGAGAGUGCAACCAAACAGCCUUGGCCCAGCUUUCAGAGGAGAACGUUAUUCACCCCAACUGCUCUGCAUCUGCCUGGAUGUCUGCCAAGAUCUGUGAGCAUUACAGCGUUGGUAUGCUUUGGGUGAGGCCUGUGGCUAUGGCAACAAGUUGGGAGCAACCCGGUCCCUGGGAAUGAGAACAGUGUCUAAAAUCAGGCAGGCGAGGGGCAGGGAGGAGAGGUAAAGGUUGGACUUGCCUGAAGAUGGAGCCGUUUUAUUGUUGUGGGUAAAGCUGCUACCAUUAGGGGCUGUUUACAGAGUGGGUGCAGCUCAAGCUGGGAGCAUGUUAGACUCAGCGACUACGAUCAACCUAUUGACUUGUUCCCAUGAGACAGAGUAAAUUAACUGUUGCAGUACUGGUCAUGUACCACCAACCUCCUGUGAACCAGCCCUCAGUGAAACAUUUAUGUGAAAGGCCAUGGUGUUCCCAUAAGAGGGUGCAUGUUCUCUCCCUUGACUAACUCUUCAGUAUGCCUCAUUCUCACGCGCUGGUGUGCAGGAAGGAGUCCAACAUGCCCCAUUGACAGUCAUGCCCUGUAUGUGGAAAGUCUUCAGGUAGAGCACUGGGCUCAGGUUUGAAGAUGUGAGUUCUAAUCCUAGCAAGGCCAUUACCUCCCAGUGACCUCAUGUCUCGAUUUCCUCAACCACAAAACAAAGGCAUUGGUGAGCUGACCUCUAAGGCCUCUCCAGUUCUCACCUUCUGUGUCUCUACAGACUGGAGACUAGAAGAUUAUGGGCACUUUUAUUGAGUCUUCAUUUUGUUUCCAUUUCUUUGUAGUCAUCAGCUGGAGUUGAGGACAAGUUUUAACAAUAGAUAGGUUUCUUUUUGUCUCUUUUUAAAAAAUUUUAUUUAAAAUAAAUGCCAAGUGUAGUGGCUCAUACCUGUAAUCCCAGCACUUUGGGGAGGCCAAGGUGGGAGGAUUGCUUUUGAGUUUGAGACCAGCCUGGGCAACGUGGUGAGACCCUGUUUGUACAAAAAAUUUUAAAUUAGCCAGGCAUGGUGGCGUGUGCCUAUAGUCCUAGCUACUCUGGAGGUAGAGGCAGGAGGAUCCCUUGAACCUGGGAGGUUGAGGCCACAGUGAGCUGUGAUUGUGCUAUUGAACUCUAGCCUGGGCAACAGAGCAAGACCCUGUCUCUUAAAAAAGACUAUUUUUUAAGAACACUUUUAGGUUCACAGCGAAAUUUGGAGGAAACUUGGCAUAUGUCAUAUGCCCCCUGCUCCCAUGCAUGCACAGCCUCUACCAUUAGCAAUGUCCCCACUCAAAUGGUACCUUUGUUGUAAUCAACAACCCUGUACUGACACAUCAUCAUCACCCAAACUCCAUAGUUCACAUUAGGUUUCACUCUUGGUGUGGUGUACAUUCCAUGGGCUUGAACAACUGUAUAAUGACAUUAUCCACCACUGCAGGAUCAUACAGAGUAGUCUCACUGCCCUAAAACUACUCUGUGCUCCACCUGUUUGUCCCUUCUUUCACUCUAAACUCCUGGCAACAACUGACCUUUUUACUGCCUCGAUAGCUUUGCCUUCUUCGGAAUGUCAUGUAGUUGAAAUCAUACAUCAUGAAGCCUUUUCAGAUUGGCUUCAUAUAGGUUUCCUUCCUUCCUUCCUCCCACCACCUUCCUUUCUUUCUGUAUUCCUAACUCUUGGAUGUAUUUUCCCCAGCAUCAUGACUUGAUGGGACUUUUGCUAAGAUAGGCAAUCAUAGAAAGUCAUAAAUCUCUUGUCAGCCUUAUUGGCUCACCUCCGAGAUGGUUCCAACACUCUUUAAGGCCCACUUUUCCAAUCCACAGAUUCCCCAGCAGAAGUCCAAGCUGCUGAGCCUCACAUCAUCUUUUGCACUAGUAAUCUUUACCACUACUUCACUGUAGCAUUUGAAAAUUUUCAUAUGAAGCCAUAGUUCUGUGUCUUUUUUUUUUUUUUUUUUUUUUUGGAGACGGAGUCUUAACCUGUUGCCCAGGCUGGAGUGCAGUGGCACAGUCUUAGCUCACUGCAAGCUCCGCCUCACGGGUUCAAGUGAUUCUUGCCUCAGCCUCCCAAGUAGCUGGGAUUACAGGCGCGCCACCAUGCCCAGCUAAAUUUGUUGGCAUUUUUAGUAGAGAUGGGGUUUCACCAUGUUGGCCAGGCUGGUCUCAAACUCCUUACCUCAGGUGAUCUGCCUGCCUCAGCCUCCCAAAGUGCUGGGAUUAAAGGUGUGAGCCACCGCACCUGGCCUGAAGCCAUAGUUCUUAACCUCAGUUGUGCAAUAGAAUUAUCUGGGGAAUUUAAAAAUUAGAAAAAACCCAUGCCCUGAAGAUUGUGAUCUAACUGGUCUUGCGUAGCGCCUGGGCAUUGGUAUUUUUUAAAUGUUUCCCAACUGAUACUAAUGUGGCCAUUCUGCAAGCCACAGUUGAAAGGCUUAUUCAAGCAUCCUGUUGCUGAAUGCAUGUCGUCCUUACCACAUGACUCUGGAGGUUUUCUUGUAUUCUGAUGUGGCUGCCCUGUUGAGGCCUGCCCCUUAGAGUGGAGAUUAUCCCCUGCAGUAGGCUGCCUGGAAUAUGAUCCCCAGUGAUCCCUGCUUCCUGGUAUUCAGGCCCUGGUGUGAUCCCUUUCCCUUGAAGCCUGGGCUGGAUUAGUGACUUGCUUCUAACCAACAGCAUAUGGCA